ACGGCUCACCAAGGCGACGAUCCCUAGCUGGUCUGAGAGGAUGACCAGCCACACUGGAACUGAGACACGGUCCAGACUCCUACGGGAGGCAGCAGUGGGGAAUAUUGCACAAUGGGCGCAAGCCUGAUGCAGCCAUGCCGCGUGUAUGAAGAAGGCCUUCGGGUUGUAAAGUACUUUCAGCGGGGAGGAAGGUGUUGUGGUUAAUAACCGCAGCAAUUGACGUUACCCGCAGAAGAAGCACCGGCUAACUCC
rnacentral:rRNA from 1 species